AUGCGUUUACUUACUGCCCUUAUUUUAGUACAAGUGUUUUAAAAUGAGAAUAUUUCCUGCAUAAUAUAAAAUCUAAUACCCAGUCCAUAUUUAAAUAUCUCCAUUUGUUAAAAAAAAGUCCUUUAUAGCUAGUUUCUUCAGAUAAGGAUCUAUAUAUAAAAAUUGGCCAUUGUCUCCUAGGUUUCUUAUAGUCUAGAAUAAAUCAUUUUUCAUUACAUUGACUUUUGACAGGCUGGACCAGAUGUCCUACCCUUUUGGAAUUGUCUAGUUAUUUAUUUGUAGUAUGACAUUUCUUUAUUUUAUUCCUGUAUGUACAUCAAACUUGAAGUUAGAUCUAAAGUGUCAGUCAAUUUAAGUGAAACAUUUUAUAUCUUAGGUAAUGUAUACUUCAUGUUGCAUCUUAUUAGAUGUUUUUAAAGCUUUAUAUAUAUAUAUAAGUUGAAUCUUGUUGACUUUCUCAAAAUCCUGAGGAAUCUGCAGUGCAUCAACAUCUCCACAGUAGGUACCAUAAAUGGUUAACAGUUUCUGUAAGGCAACUUUGCACUAGCCUAUUUUGAGCAUAGAACACAACUUUGAAGAUUAAAUCCCAUCCAGGGACUGAUUGGUAGAAGACAACUAGUCAGGGAACAUAGGAGGGAAAUACUUAAUUGCCAUAAAGUGGGUAGAUACCAGUCCACAAAUAAUUCUAAAUUAACUACGAAUAUGCUGUUUCAUGUUUGUAGACUCAUAGAUGUUUUGUGUUAUUAGUGGCUGUUCUGGAUUAUAAACUCCCAUGAGAGGUUAUUUUAAAAUCAGAAUUUUUAAUUUUUAAUAUUUAUCACUACUGCUUAUAUCCUCACUUUAACCUACCUAAUGCUGUUUCACUCAAAUGUCUUUUCUUUCUUCCCUGUAACAGUUGUGCAGAAGAUUCUGACCUUAUUUGAGGCUUACAUAUAGGUUUGGAGAUGUGGAAAGGAGUGGAAAAAGAAAUAUGUAAGCUGAAGUGCCAAACUCACACUGAAAUAAAGGGCAUGGCCUACCAGCUGACAAGGAGUGUCUGGUUUCAAGAUGGCAAAUGACCCUAAACAUGAUAGACAAAUACGUUUUACAUAGGUACAUGCACAGAUAGGCACAUAUAAAUCCACAUUUGCAAGCAAAAAGUGGAACCUGUAAAGCAGAAUUUCUGAGGAAUCUCUAAAAGACUAAUACUAUAUGGAAUUUGAAGAGGAAACCCAGAGCAGAAGCACAUAGUGAAGUACUGCCACAAAGAUGUGUGACGCCACUAAAGGUGCUCUAGACCCACAAGAAAGGAAAACUGGGAGCAGGACAACUAUCUGGAUAUUGACUGCACAUGCCAAUAUCUCAGUCAGACUAACAGAAUCAGAGCUUUAGGCAGAGAAAUGAAUGGUUGGAGAGAGAAGGCAAUGCCCAGGUGCCCUGCUUUGAAAUGUCCCGCCCAUCCCCAAAUUAGUCUGAAAAUUUCAAAUGUUGUAUAAAUUCCCUUCCCAUCAAAAGUGUCCCAUAAACAGCAGUGGUAGAAGAGUUUUAACUGAGUAUCACAGCUUCAAUGAUGAGUAUAGAAAACUCCAAAAAUCUGAAUACCAACACAAUCAAAAAAGAGGUACAAACCACAAGUGGAAGAACCAUCUCAAGAAAUAAUGAAGCAUUCAUGGAAUACAGAUUAGCAACUCUUUAAAACAGUAUUGCCAAGAGAAACAGAUGGCAUUGCAGUUGUCAGAUCUCAUUAAGGUCUUAUAUCUGAAACAGUUCCACUGUCUUCCAUAACUUUCAUAACUUUGAACAUUUUGGUAAGUAUAAACCCUUAAAUUGGUUUUGUCUGGUAUUCCUCAUGAUUAAACUAGUC
ensembl:lncRNA KANSL1L-AS1 KANSL1L antisense RNA 1